rnacentral:rRNA from 1 species
UACGUAGGGUGCGAGCGUUAAUCGGAAUUACUGGGCGUAAAGCGUGCGCAGGCGGUGAUGUAAGACCGAUGUGAAAUCCCCGGGCUUAACCUGGGAACUGCAUUGGUGACUGCAUCGCUCGAGUAUGGCAGAGGGGGGUAGAAUUCCACGUGUAGCAGUGAAAUGCGUAGAGAUGUGGAGGAAUACCGAUGGCGAAGGCAGCCCCUGGGUCAAUACUGACGCUCAUGCACGAAAGCGUGGGGAGCAAACAGG